GCCUGGGUAGCUCAGUGGGUUAAGCCUCUGCCUUCCACUCAGGUCAUGAUCUCAGGGUCGUGGGAUCGAGUCCCACAUCGGGCU
rnacentral:tRNA from 1 species